UUUAAAACACACACACACACACACACACACACACACACAGGACAAGGCCACACACAAAUUUUUUUCUCGUUAUUUUACUUUUUUUAGUUGCAUGACCUACAAAAUAGACUGCAUUUUUAAAAAAUCAAUUUCUGGAGGCAUGCAUCUUGAUGACUUUUACACACAUUGUCUUUAUUUUUUAAAUUAUCUUGGAAGAAAAUCUUUAAAAAUAUAAAUUUCAAGGCAUCUACUGCAACCACGACCUUGGGAAGGCAGCAAUCCAGCCCGGGAAGGGACUGAGUCCACACAUCAGAUACAGUCCUUUUAAGUGCCCAUUUAGGACGGUUGCAGAGCAAGCAGCUUUUAGUGGGACAGGACAAGAACCACCCCAAACCUGAGGUUUUGACUGUUCCUAUCUCGUGGCCGAGGCUUGGACGGGUCCCGAAGCCUGUGAGACCGCAGAAGGGGGCUUCAGCUAGCCCGCAGGCACGCGCUGGACCCUAGCAUCUCUCCAGGAACCGAAGGGCUUCUGGCGGCGGUGGUUGCCCGCGGGACGGUUCUUUGCAGGGCGGGGCUGGGAGAAGGGCGAGGGAACUCAAGAGAAGCGUCCAGAGUUGCCAUGGAAACGGGGGCCUGCGGAAGGCUUCCCAGCCACCGGGAGUCCCGUGAAAUUUGCCCCCAGGGACUACUGGUGUUCACCGGAUCUUCAGAACAGGACUCCACCUUGGCCAAGCAGUUCUGGACCGCAGCGUCCCUGUACCCCCCUAACGAAUCGCAGCUGGUGCUGCCCCGAGGUAGCAGUCAGCGCCUGCCGGUGGCCCGGCCCUCUAGGCGCCGUCCGCGGGAGACUAUAAAUGUCACUGCUGAAACCAGAAAGAUUGAGGAAUCUGAGGAGAAGAAAAAGUAUCUCCAAAAGCAGGCUAAAAGGAGAGAUGAGAUUCUCCAACUCCUAAGAAAACAAAGAGAAGAAAGGAUCUCGAAAGAACUGGUUUCCCUUCCUUAUAAGCCAAAGGCCAAAGUACACAAAGCAAAAUUCACGUUACUGCCAACAGGAAAGUGAUGUCAGAGUCAGAUAAGGAAGACCAAGAGGAGGUCAAAGCCUUGGACUAACGUGAUCAACGCAAGGGGCUCCACUGACGCGCCCAGCUCCACUGAGGACCACCGUUCACUGCGCUCUUGGCCCCCCUGCCACUGGACUAACCCCCACCGGAUGCAGCUCCCACCCACAGCGCCCACAGAGCUGUGGGUGACCCACCGGUCAAAAUUGCAUCACAGGGAUAAACCAAAUUGCAAGGGAGGGGGGAAUAGUCUUUAAAUGGAAGAGCGUCUGCCUUGGUAACAUUCAGGACUCUCGCUAAGAGAAAUGGACAGACAGCAGGUAUUAGUGGAUGACUAGUAGUUUUGCCCAUAACACUAUUUGGAGAAAAAUGUUUGAACAGAGGGAAGUAGUCAGGCCUAGAAAAGGGAAAUUUUGAAAAUUAUAAAUUGGCAGUCUCACAUCAGCACUAUGAAGAGUAAAAGGCACCCUGAUAUUAUUAUCUGCCAGACGGAUAAAUCUCUUUUGUAAAGAUGGAUAGAGCAGACUGUCAAAACCUAACCUUUCAAACCCGAUAACUCCCUUUGUUCUGAUUCCAUGCUCACUGGGAAAUCUCUUGCCCAGAAGCAGAGCAUGUGCUCAACAGACUAAUAGAAACAUCAGUUUGGUUGAUAA